UACAAGGGGGGCGAGCGUUGUUCGGAAUUAUUGGGCGUAAAGGGUGCGUAGGCGGUUUGGUAAGUCUUGUGUGAAAUCUCCAGGCUCAACUUGGAGUCUGCACGAGAAACUGCCGGGCUUGAGUGUGGGAGAGGUGAGUGGAAUUCCUGGUGUAGCGGUGAAAUGCGUAGAUAUCAGGAGGAACACCUGUGGCGAAAGCGGCUCACUGGACCACAACUGACGCUGAUGCACGAAAGCUAGGGGAGCAAACAGG
rnacentral:rRNA from 1 species